UUUUGGGGGAAAUUAGGAGUGGUGAUUUUCUUCCUUUUGAGCACUACUCCACAUUAAGUUCUAUGGAAAUUUCAUCUAAAAGAUCAUCAAAUUGGAAAACUCCAUUGAAAUAUUUAUUUCACUCUAAACCACUCAGCUUAACCCCAGGGAAGAUACCGCAAAGUUGAAGAAUAAAAACAGCAGUUUUGCCUCCAGGAUCAUUAACCAUGUGAAGGGAAAGUUGAGUUUUGGGGCAAGAAUAAUUCUAGGAGGAGGAAGUGGCAGUGUUUUCGGACAAAUAUUUAUUGUGUAAGAAGGAGAGAAGCUGCUAAAGGCUUUCCAAUUCCAUCUGUGCACGACAGCCGGUCCAAUACCAGGGCUCUUGUUUAUUUCCACUGAAAAGGUUGCCUUUUGCGGUGAAAGAUGGAUCAACGUUACUUCCUCUUGCCUUACAAGGUUUUGGUACCAAUAAGGAAGAUCAAAAGAGUCAACCAGAGUGAGAACGUGAAGAAUCCAGAAGAAAAGUACAUAGAAAUAGUGAUAAGUGGGUUGAUUUAAUAUGGUUGCGUUGGUAUUAUUUUUUAUGUCAAUUCUGUUUAAUUAUUUUUUUUAAAAUUAUAUUCAUGUCUCAUAAACAUGUUAAGCCUAAAAUUACUUUA